UACAGAGGGUGCGAGCGUUAAUCGGAUUUACUGGGCGUAAAGCGUGUGUAGGUGGCUUCCUAAGUCGGUUGUGAAAUCCCUGGGCUCAACCUGGGAAUUGCAGUCGAUACUGGGAAGCUCGAGUUCGGUAGAGGACGGCGGAAUUCCCGGUGUAGCGGUGAAAUGCGUAGAGAUCGGGAGGAACACCAGAGGCGAAGGCGGCGACCUGGACAGGUACUGACACUCAACUACGAAAGCGUGGGGAGCAAACAGG
rnacentral:rRNA from 1 species